rnacentral:rRNA from 1 species
GUGGAUUAGAUACCCUGGUAGUCCACGCCCUAAACGAUGUCAACUAGUUGUUGGGGAUUAAUUUCCUUGGUAACGCAGCUAACGCGUGAAGUUGACCGCCUGGGGAGUACGGUCGCAAGAUUAAAACUCAAAGGAAUUGACGGGGACCCGCACAAGCGGUGGAUGAUGUGGAUUAAUUCGAUGCAACGCGAAAAACCUUACCUACCCUUGACAUGGUCGGAAUCCUGGAGAGAUCUGGGAGUGCUCGAAAGAGAACCGGCGCACAGGUGCUGCACGGCCGUCGCCAGCU